UGUUAGUCCCAGAAUCCACGCACCUCCCAGCAUAGCAAAUCUGCAAUAGAAGCUACACAUGUUGUACAAGCCUACGUAGUGAAAAAGGCUGCAGACAGCCGGACCAGAAGACGGCUCUACCGGAAAACCCGGGCACCCAGAGGCCUAGAGGCGCUUUGUGCACGCAACGUGUACACAUCCUGUGCAUACGCAAAGCUCACUUCCCAAGCAGCACAGCCGACCGGAAGAAGCUCGGGGUCGCAAUGUGCCCAUCAAAACUGACUGAUAUCGACAACAUUUUCCUGACUGCUUCCCGAUAGCUUGAGAGAGAAGAAACAAGAGAGUGAGGAGAAAUAGGAUUCUCUCCCGACCUACUCGCGUCCACAGGCCAGUACUCUCAAACGCACAGCCGAUGACGGUUCCGCUCCGUUCUGUUCCCGGUUACCUGGUGUGCAUCGUUACUGGAAAGCUCUCUCACAGCAAGCCACGAAGAGAGUUCCUCACAGGCUUCACAGACAGGUUUUCGCGGGUAUCGAUGACGCACACAUAAAGAAGAACUCACCUGUCUGCUCAAGUAGCACUUAAAGCCAUCCAGAGAUUUGUAAGCAAUUUGCUGGUACAAAGUCCAGCCACUGCCGUAGCAGCAACGAGUCACGCAGUCAACUUUUGGCCACUCGCGCGUAUUUUGGAACCAAUUCUGCAAAGCGAAAAUAACAAAAAGAAAGAAAGAUCAGUAACGGAAAGUGUGUGUGCUGCAGACGGUAUUAUACACAGGCACGCCAGCUAGCUUAAAGUGACUCUGACCAGAAGUUGGGCAAACUCUUCGUUUGCAUCUAUUAUGAAAGCAUAAUAUGCCUCCAAGCCACACGUGAAAUAUUUCGGUUGUGUAUGGCAGUGCAGUUUGCCAAACAAACAGGGACUGAAAACCAGCUUUGCCUUCGCCCCUCAACUCGCGCAAUCGGCGCCGGAAUCUAUCCCGUAUAUGAUGAACUUCCGCUUGUUUGACGUCAUCUCGAGGAUACAUUUCUUUGGAAGAUACCCAGCACCAGAGGUUCCGUGGUUUGUUUGUUAGUAAGGGCUCUUCAAAAUGGACGUCGAAGCUAGUAUGGCGACCUAUCUGCGACCCAAGAGGGAAGUUCUGUUGCAUGCGAAGGAGUUCGGAAACUUGCUUUCGAAACGUCGUCAGCGAUGCAGACGCGAACCCAGGUCGGAGCUCCACAUACAUCGGGCACACAUGAUGCCAACGUCGCCAGUUGCCUGACUUUGAUAGACUGGUAAAUUAACUUUUUACCGCACAUUGAUCGAACGCGUAAACAUUAUCUGUAGAUUUCGUGUCCUCAUAUUUGGUCGAGCACUUGUUGCUUUAGGUGCCAGUGUGGUUUAUGCGCCAUAACACCGAAAAAAUCGAAUAUGUCUGUGCUUCAAGGAGCUCGAGAACACUGCAGUACUAAUGUGAACCACGAUGGCUUCAAACUUGUAUGCCUCAACGCGACUGUUCUAAAAGUCGCGUAUUUUGAACUCCGGGGACAGCGCGAACCCAUGAGCAUUCAUAUUCACAAAUAAAUCACAAGCAUUCUUCCACACUAACUGUACGAUUUAGUUAAAAAUGUUGAUUUCUAAAGCAGUACAGCAUAGUUCAUAUGCUGUGACUACAGCUUUUUUCGGCGUUAUUAAUCCUCUUGUCGUACAUUUUAAGCCUUAUACCAUGACAUUUAAUCCAUUUGCCGUCGGAAUUAAUCCUCCUUUCAUUAUUUUUAAUUCUCAUUUCACAUAAUUUAAUCCGUUUCUCAUGCAAUUUAAUCCAAGUGAAUAUGUGUGGGCUACAUGACUUUUUUCUGUGUAUUUUG